rnacentral:rRNA from 7 species
AACUUUCAACAACGGAUCUCUUGGUUCCGGUAUCGAUGAAGAACGCAGCGAAAUGCGAUAAAUAAUGUGAAUUGCAGAAUUCAGUGAAUCAUCGAGUCUUUGAACGCACAUUGCGCCCCCUGGUAUUCCGGGGGGCAUGCCUGUCCGAGCGUCAU